UGGGGAAUAUUGGACAAUGGGCGCAAGCCUGAUCCAGCCAUGCCGCGUGAGUGAUGAAGGCCUUAGGGUUGUAAAGCUCUUUCAGCGGGGAAGAUAAUGACGGUACCCGCAGAAGAAGCGCCGGCUAACUACGUGC
rnacentral:rRNA from 1 species